CCUACGGGUGGCAGCAGUCGAGAAUCAUUCACAAUGGGGGAAACCCUGAUGGUGCGACGCCGCGUGGGGGAAUGAAGGUCUUCGGAUUGUAAACCCCUGUCAUGUGGGAGCAAAUCAAAAAGAUAGUACCACAAGAGGAAGCGACGGCUAACUCUGUGCCAGCAGCCGCGGUAAUACAGAGGUCUCAAGCGUUGUUCGGAAUCACUGGGUGUAAAGCGUGCGUAGACUGUGUCGUAAGUCGUGUGUGAAAGGCGCGGGCUUAACCCGCGGACGGCAUAUGAAACUGCGGAACGAGAGUGAUGGAGGGGGAACCGGAAUUCUCGGUGUAGCAGUGAAAUGCGUAGAUAUGGGGAGGAACACUCGUGGCGAAGGCGGGUUCCUGGACCUUAACUGACGCUGAGGCACGAAGGCCAGGGGAGCGAAAGGGAUUAGAUACCCGGGUAGUC
rnacentral:rRNA from 1 species